CGCCACGCCCUCCCCGUGACCCGCCUACAGUUCGGGGUCAGACGGGCAGAUGUGACGCGCUUGAGAUCGCAGUGCUAGGAGUGGGGAGAGGGGCGGCCGGCCCCCCCCUGGGAACUCCUGUGAGUUCCGAGGAGCGCGGUCGGGAUUCCCUGCAGACCCCGCGCGGGGCCCCGGGAGCGAUGUCGCGAAAGCCCUGGGUCGGAGCCGGUACUGCCCAGCCGCCCGGGAAUCGGACGUCAGGGCGGGAGCCCAGGCCUUCCUGAGGCCGUCCUGUCGGUGAAACUAAAACACCAAGUUUGCCUGCUAAGGGAGCCACAGCACAGCCCAGCCAAAACCACGCGUGUAGUGUCGAAUCUAAUAGUAAAGUAACCCCAUAUACUGUACACCAGACAGCACAGUUUUAUAGAAAACGAGCCUCAAAGGCGUGAGGAGUUCAGAGAUUCAUCUGCACACCCUAGUAGGACUAGAACCAGCUUUGUUACAGAACUGAACAUUGCACGAACAAGAUCCAAGCUGUCAAUGGCACUAAAAGAUGAGAGAAGACUUUUUAAAAAAAAAAAAAUAGGUCAGAUCGUGCUGCUUUUUUUGCUCAGAACCCUCCAGUGGCUUCCCUUGACUAGAAAUAAAUUUUUCAAAACCUG